CAACUGACGAGUCCCGAAUAGGACGAAAUGCGUAUCCUG
rnacentral:hammerhead_ribozyme from 1 species